UACGGAAGGCAGCAGUGGGGAAUCUUGCGCAAUGGGCGAAAGCCUGACGCAGCCAUGCCGCGUGAAUGAUGAAGGUCUUAGGAUUGUAAAAUUCUUUCACCGGGGACGAUAAUGACGGUACCCGGAGAAGAAGCCCCGGCUAACUUCGUGCCAGCAGCCGCGGUAAUACGAAGGGGCUAGCGUUGCUCGGAAUUACUGGGCGUAAAGGGCGCGUAGGCGGAUCGUUAAGUCAGAGGUGAAAUCCCAGGGCUCAACCCUGGAACUGCCUUUUGAUACUGGCGAUCUUGAGUAUGAGAGAGGUAUGUGGAACUCCGAGUGUAGAGGUGAAAUUCGUAGAUAUUCGGAAGAACACCAGUGGCGAAGGCGACAUACUGGCUCAUUACUGACGCUGAGGGCGCGAAAGCGUGGGGAGCAAACAGGGAUUAGAUACC
rnacentral:rRNA from 1 species